UACGAAGGGUGCGAGCGUUAUUCGGAUUGAUUGGGCGUAAAGGGUGCGCAGGUGGUUCGCUAAGUCAAUCGUUAAAUUUCCCGGCUUAACCGGGAAUCGGCGGUAGAUACUGGCAGACUAGAGGAUGGAAGAGAGAAGUGGAAUUCUCGGAGUAGCGGUAAAAUGCGUAGAUCUCGAGAGGAACACCGAUGGCGAAGGCAGCUUCUUGGUCCAUUUCUGACACUCAUGCACGAAAGCGUGGGGAGCAAACAGGAUUAGAUACCCUGGUAGUCCACGCUGUAAACGAUGAUCACUAGACGUUUGUCCGCUUGCGGAUGAGUGUCGUAGCUAACGCGUUAAGUGAUCCGCCUGGGGAUUACGGUCGCAAGAUUAAA
rnacentral:rRNA from 1 species